rnacentral:rRNA from 1 species
AGGGCACCACCAGGAGUGGAGCCUGCGGCUUAAUUUGACUCAACACGGGAAAACUCACCCGGCCCGGACACUGGAAGGAUUGACAGAUUGAGAGCUCUUUCUUGAUUCAGUGGGUGGUGGUGCAUGGCCGUUCUUAGUUGGUGGAGUGAUUUGUCUGGUUAAUUCCGAUAACGAACGAGACUCUAGCCUAUUAAAUAGAUCGUUGGCUUACAAACGCCGGCGAGACUUCUUAGAGGGACAGGCGGCGAUUCAGCCGCACGAAACAGAGCAAUAACAGGUCUGUGAUGCCCUUAGAUGUCCGGGGCCGCACGCGCGCUACACUGAAGUGAUCAGCGUGCAUUUUGAAACCUACUCUGUCAAGAGUGGGGGACCCAAUGAACCUUCUUCGUGAUUGGGAUAGGGGAUUGUAAUUAUUCCCCUUGAACGAGGAAUUCCCAGUAAGCGCGAAUCAUAAGUUUGCGCUGAUUACGUCCCUGCCCUUUGUACACACCGCCCGUCGCUACUACCGAUUGAAUGCUU